rnacentral:ncRNA from 1 species
CGUACAGUGAAACUGCGAAUGGCUCAUUAAAUCAGUUAUGGUUCAUUUGAUCGUACAGUUUACUUGGAUAACUGUGGUAAUUCUAGAGCUAAUACAUGCGAGAAGCGCCGACCUCGCGGGAGGCGUGCAUUUAUCAGACCAAAAACCGGCCGCGUCUUCGGGCGCGUUCGCCUUGGUGACUCUGGAUAACUUUGCGGAUCGCACGGUCUAGCACCGGCGACGGAUCAUUCAAGUGUCUGCCCUAUCAACUUUCGUCGGUACGGUAUUUGCCUACCGAGGUUCUUACGGGUGACGGGGAAUCAGGGUUCGAUUCCGGAGAGGGAGCCUGAGAAACGGCUACCACAUCCAAGGAAGGCAGCAGGCGCGCAAAUUACCCAUUCCCGACGCGGGGAGGUAGUGACGAAAAAUAACAAUGCAGGACUCGUUCGAGGCCCUGUAAUUGGAAUGAGUACACUUUAAAAGCUUUAACGAGUAUCCAUUGGAGGGCAAGUCUGGUGCCAGCAGCCGCGGUAAUUCCAGCUCCAAAAGUAUAUAUUUAAGUUGUUGCGGUUAAAAAGCUCGUAGUUGGAUUUUGGGCGCAGGCGGCCGGUCCGUCGCAAGGCGUGUACUGGACGUCCUGGCCUUCCCUCCGGUUCUCCGCCGGUGCUCUUGACUGAGUGUCGGCGGCGGCCGGAACGUUUGCUUUAAAAAAUUAGAGUUUCAAAGCAGGC